AAAAACUGAAAGGUCUUUUUC
rnacentral:snRNA from 1 species